rnacentral:tRNA from 1 species
AGGGGUGUAGUUCAAUAUGGUAGAGCAUCGGUCUCCAAAACCGAAAGUUAGGGGUUCGAUUCCCUUCACCCCUG